AUACCAUGGUAGAGACAUUACCUCAAAAUCUCUUUAAAUAUUUCCAACGCGUCAAAUAAGGAUUCAUCAUAUCCUUGUCUAAAUGAAGUAAUCUCAUUCCUCAUCUU